rnacentral:rRNA from 1 species
AUACCCUAUUAUAUUAGAUGUUAAUUUUUUUUUKCCGGGGUAGUACUUGUUAUGUUCUUGAAACCCAAAGAAUUUGGCGGUAUUUUAUUCUUUCCAGAGGAACCUGUUUUUUAAUUGAUAGUCCACGAUUUUAAUUACUUAUUCUUGUAUUUCAGUUUUUAUACCUCCGUCAUAAGAAUAUUUUUUUAGAAUUAAUUUUCUUAAUUAUUUGUUUAUGUAAAUGUCAGGUCAAGGUGAAGCUAAUGAUUAAGUAGGAAUGGGUUACAAUAAAAUUAUUUAUACGAAAGACUAAUUGUAUAAUUGGUUUGAAGGCGGAUUUGGUAGUAAAUUGAUUGAUUAAUUUUUUUGAUAUUAGCUCUAAAAUAUGC